rnacentral:lncRNA from 1 species
CUUUGUGUAACUCCAUCCUCUUAUCCCAGAAACAAUCAUUCUUGCAUGUCAUGGUUACCUCAUUUAGUGCCCUUUGAGAGCUUUUGCAGGUGGGCAAUAUUUCACAUGCAGUUUGGUUUGUAUGCUGUAAACAUCACUGAACAAAAACAAAACCAUCAGAAAAAUAACACUGGAAAGAUUGGAAGCUGCUAAGGGUAGAAUCAUUCUCAGUUAUGGGGUGGUCUAAAGGUUUGCUUUCUUGGAAUCCCAAAGGGAAGCUGUUUUAUGAGUGACAUAAGGAGAGCACACACAGGAAUGAGCUGAGGCAGAGUUACAGGUUAAAAGAAAGAGUUGCCCUCCCAGAGACAAGUUAGACUACCCUCUAAAGAGUGCUGUCAAACCAAUACUGUGCCAGGCCACAGGAGAGACAUCCUGAUGAAUGCUGGAACUUGGCUAUUGCUAUCAUGGUUUAUAAGCAUAACAGAUAGCCUAGACACUAUGGAUGGAAGCUUGGAAUAUCAUCGGAUAGAGUGGCACCAUCAGAGGAAUUCCUGGUAUUACCAAAUGAAGUAGGCAUGGGAACAGUUUUUGUGACAAAUAUUUUGGAUGUCUUCACUCUACCCCUCACCCACUGUAGGGAAGUGAAGGCAUGAGAAUUUGAACAGAAGAGACACCCUACUACCUGUACUUCCUACACAAGACCCAGUGACCACAGGCUCCCAACAAAUGAGCCAGGCCUCUGCUUAUUCUUCAACACGCAUAUCACAUCACCCUAGCAAGAAAUGGAUUUCCUCUGCAUUAUUGUUUAUCUGGAGAGAAUAACAGUUCACAAAGUCCAAUCAGAUCAAAGCAACUUCAUGAUCGAAUUAAGCCUCACAUGGAUUCAAAAACACUUCUAUUGAGUACCUGUGACAUUGCAUAAAAUGACUACAGCUUCAAGCACAAUGUCAAUGAAAUAAAAGUUAUACCUUGUGAAAUAGAUUGUAAUCUAGGUACAGAUAUUCAUCUUUCUUUUAUGUUCAAUGGCCUUUGUGCAUCUGUGUGUGUGUUCAGUUAAUACAUAUUUAUAAAUGAUGAAAAGGGAAACAAGUCAUCAUUAUUUUUAUCAACUUUUGUUAAAAAUACAUAUCGGUUAACGUUGCCAGGUAACAUACAAGAUGCUCUGCUGAAUUUGAAUUUCCAAUAAAAAAAUAAGUAAAUUUUUUAGCACAAGUGUGUGCCAAAUAUGGCAUAGAGCAUAUUUAUACUAAAUAGUGAUUAUUUGUCUAAAAAUCUAAUUUAACUGAGUGUCAUAUUUCCUUUAUCUUUUUCUAGCUUUAUUGAGAUAUAAUUAUCAGAAAUUAUAUAUACAGCCGUGUGUUCUUUAACAAAAGAGAUGCCUUCUGAGAAACACAUCAUUAGGUGAUGUCAUUGUGGGAACACUAUAGAUUAUAAACCUAGAUAAUAUAGCCAACUACACACCUAAGUUAUAUGGUAUAGCCUAUUGCUCCUAGGCUAAAACCUGCACAGCAUAUUACUGUACUAAAUACUAUAGGCCAUUGUAACACAAAGAUAAGUAUUU